rnacentral:rRNA from 1 species
AUUGAACGCUGGCGGCAUGCCUUACACAUGCAAGUCGAACGGCAGCGCGGGGCAACCUGGCGGCGAGUGGCGAACGGGUGAGUAAUAUAUCGGAACAUGCCCAGAAGUGGGGAUAACGUAGCGAAAGUUACGCUAAUACCGCAUACGAUCUACGGAUGAAAGUGGGGGACCGCAAGGCCUCAUGCUUUUGGAGUGGCCGAUAUCUGAUUAGCUAGUUGGUGGGGUAAAGGCCUACCAAGGCGACGAUCAGUAGCUGGUCUGAGAGGACGACCAGCCACACUGGAACUGAGACACGGUCCAGACUCCUACGGGAGGCAGCAGUGGGGAAUUUUGGACAAUGGGGGGCAACCCUGAUCCAGCAAUGCCGCGUGUGUGAAGAAGGCCU